GGUCAGGGUUAAGAUGAUUUGAGGUGCCUUUAAUAACCUCAGCUCCAUUUAAGGUGCAGUGUAAAGGUGCUUUUGUUACCUGCAUCCUCUAAAACGCUAGCUUUGUAAUCUCAGUAAGAGGGACUCCUAUCAGCUGACUGAAUAGACCUGUUAUUUCCUGUGAGGUGCUGAGCUCACUCAACCCCCUCAGUGCUCAGCACUUCACAGGAGCAGGGGCUGAUUGCCCAUGUCUAGGUCUGUGGCUCCAAGCCUUGCAAACCCCAUCACCUUGCAGUUUUCUAUAUCUGACUAAAAUAAUUUCUUUUUCUAGCUUGGGCACCCCAUUCAAUUGCUAGAAUUCUAAUGGAAGAUACAGGACUAAAUUCAGCCUUGUCAUAAGCAAAUGCAAUUCCAGCUGAAGUCAAUGGAAGUUGUGCAUGAUUACACCAGGGCUGAAUUUGCCUGAAGUUGGGCGGGUGGCAAGCUCAGAGUACUGCAUGUUAUCCAAAACAAACAUGUUUGGAUUUUGCCUUGUCCUUUGCAUAUUCAUUGUUCAGCUCUUUCAUCUACUUGUUGCAUGUUGCUAUAGAUUGAGAUUGUGAGUUGUCAGGACAGAGACUGUCAGAAUCAUAUGUUUGUACAGAAUCUAGCACGGGGGAGCCCAGAUCCCUGUUUGAGGCCCCUUGGCCCUACAGCAAUACAACCAAGAACAGUAAUACAACUAUGAACAGUAAUGUCAAACAAAAGAACUCGAACAGGUACACGCAGUCACAGCGUGGGAUAUGUCUGGCUCAAAUUAUAAAUUCCAUUUUGUAGUAGGAAUGCCAUUUUGUGAUAUGUGCUGAAGAACCCAAGGCAAGGUUAUUAUGAGAUAUUCCAGAUACUUAGCAUGCCCAGGAAAGCUGCUUGACACCUGAUUGAAGGACUAUGACUCGGAAGCCAUCACAGAGCAAUCUAGGACCAUCAAGUUGGAUUGUUUGUUAACUGCUGGCCCAACCCCAUAGAACAAUGGAUUUUCUACAUUGGGGUGCCAGCAUGGUCGGUGGUUCUGCUGCUUCUUGGCCUGCUGGCCACAUGGCCAAAGGGAGAGAGACUGUAUUUAAGAAGGGAGUUCUCUUCUCUGAAAAGUGGGGGUCAUCCAUCGCCACAUGCAAGAAGAGCCUGGAGAGAGAUGGAAGGCCGGAGAGACUCUGCCUAGCCUGAAAUACUGACAAGACUCACAGAAUGGUGGAGAUCUGACUAUCUGAGGGUGCAUCUCUGGACUUUUAUUAUUUUGCAAGGAAGUGAUUGGAUCUUCAUUCUUUGCCAAGAGACUGUGGCUAGAUUCCUGGCAAGGGACUCACCUGCUGUAUUGGCAGAGGCAACGCUUCACCUGCACAUGACGAUUGCGGUGAAUCAUCAUUUGGAAAAAGCAAUAGGGAGAGGGUCAGCAGGCUGCAUUGUAAAUAUUGGUUUGGCAUUAUAUUUUAUACAUGAGUGACUCAGUUACAAUACCUUGCUAAAUAAAUAUUGGAAACAAAA